UGUAUGGUUAAGUGACUAAGCGUACACGGUGGAUGCCUGGGCAGUCAGAGGCGAUGAAGGACGUACUAACUUGCGAUAAGCGCAGAUAAGGCAGUAAGAGCCGUUUGAGUCUGCGAUUUCCGAAUGGGGAAACCCAACUGCAUAAGCAGUUACUGUUAACUGAAUACAUAGGUUAACAGAGCAAACCGGGGGAACUGAAACAUCUAAGUACCCCGAGGAGAAGAAAUCAACCGAGAUUCCGGUAGUAGCGGCGAGCGAACCUGGAUUAGCCCUUAAGCACUCGGUGAAGUAGGUGAACAAGCUGGAAAGCUUGGCGAUACAGGGUGAUAGCCCCGUAACCGACGCUUCAUCGAGCGUGAAAUCGAGUAGGGCGGGACACGUGAUAUCCUGUCUGAAUAUGGGGGGACCAUCCUCCAAGGCUAAAUACUCCUGACUGACCGAUAGUGAACCAGUACCGUGAGGGAAAGGCGAAAAGAACCCCUGUGAGGGGAGUGAAAUAGAACCUGAAACCGUGUACGUACAAGCAGUAGGAGCACCUUCGUGGUGUGACUGCGUACCUUUUGUAUAAUGGGUCAGCGACUUAUAUUCAGUGGCAAGGUUAACCGUAUAGGGGAGCCGUAGCGAAAGCGAGUCUUAACUGGGCGCUCAGUCUCUGGAUAUAGACCCGAAACCGGGUGAUCUAGCCAUGGGCAGGUUGAAGGUUGAGUAACAUCAACUGGAGGACCGAACCGACUAAUGUUGAAAAAUUAGCGGAUGACUUGUGGCUAGGGGUGAAAGGCCAAUCAAACUCGGAGAUAGCUGGUUCUCCCCGAAAGCUAUUUAGGUAGCGCCUCGGACGAAUACUACUGGGGGUAGAGCACUGUUAAGGCUAGGGGGUCAUCCCGACUUACCAACCCUUUGCAAACUCCGAAUACCAGUAAGUACUAUCCGGGAGACACACGGCGGGUGCUAACGUCCGUCGUGGAGAGGGAAACAACCCAGACCGCCAGCUAAGGUCCCAAAGUAUUGCUAAGUGGGAAACGAUGUGGGAAGGCUCAGACAGCUAGGAUGUUGGCUUAGAAGCAGCCAUCAUUUAAAGAAAGCGUAAUAGCUCACUAGUCGAGUCGGCCUGCGCGGAAGAUGUAACGGGGCUAAGCAAUACACCGAAGCUGCGG
rnacentral:rRNA from 1 species